rnacentral:tRNA from 1 species
GGGGGUGUAGCUCAUAUGGUAGAGUGCUUGCUUCGUAUGCGAGAGGCACGAGAUUCGAUUCCUCGCACCUGUA